UACGAAGGGGGCUAGCGUUGCUCGGAAUGACUGGGCGUAAAGGGCGCGUAGGCGGAGUGCUUUGUCGGGCGUGAAAUUCCAGGGCUUAACCUUGGGGCUGCGUUCGAGACGGGCAUUCUAGAGUUUGGAAGAGGGUCGUGGAAUUCCCAGUGUAGAGGUGAAAUUCGUAGAUAUUAGGAGGAACACCAGUGGCGAAGGCGACUGCCUGGACGAACAUUGACGCUGAGGUGCGAAAGCGUGGGGAGCAAACAGGG
rnacentral:rRNA from 1 species